rnacentral:rRNA from 1 species
CGGAGGGGCUAGCGUUGUUCGGAAUUACUGGGCGUAAAAGCGCACGUAGGCGGAUCAGUCAGUUAGGGGUGGAAAUCCCAGGGCUCAACCCUGGAACUGCCUUUAAUACUGCUGGUCUGGAGUCCGAGAGAGGUGAGUGGAAUUCCGAGUGUAGAGGUGAAAUUCGUAGAUAUUCGGAGGAACACCAGUGGCGAAGGCGGCUCACUGGCUCGGUACUGACGCUGAGGUGCGAAAGACGUGGGGAGCAAACAGGAUU